rnacentral:rRNA from 1 species
AUUGAACGCUGGCGGCAGGCUUAACACAUGCAAGUCGAGCGGGGUAGGUUGCUUCGGUAACUGACCUAGCGGCGGACGGGUGAGUAAUGCUUAGGAAUCUGCCUAUUAGUGGGGGACAACAUUCCGAAAGGGAUGCUAAUACCGCAUACGCCCUACGGGGGAAAGCAGGGGAUCUUCGGACCUUGCGCUAAUAGAUGAGCCUAAGUCGGAUUAGCUAGUUGGUGGGGUAAAGGCCUACCAAGGCGACGAUCUGUAGCGGGUCUGAGAGGAUGAUCCGCCACACUGGGACUGGAACACGGCCCAGACUCCUACGGGAGGCAGCAGUGGGGAAUAUUGGACAAUGGGCGGAAGCCUGAUCCAGCCAUGCCGCGUGUGUGAAGAAGGCCUUUUGGUUGUAAAGCACUUUAAGCGAGGAGGAGGCUCUUAAGGUUAAUACCCUUGAUGAGUGGACGUUACUCGCAGAAUAAGCACCGGCUAACUCUGUGCCAGCCGCCGCGGUAACAC